rnacentral:tRNA from 1 species
GACAUUUAAUUGUAGUGGUUAAUGCGAUGGACUGCUGAUCCAUUGUGCUCUGCACGCGUGGGUUCGAAUCCCAUCCUCGUCG